rnacentral:lncRNA from 1 species
ACCUGCUAUUAUUUAGUGUUGAUAGUAUUAUAGAAGACCCCUGACUGAUAAAAAUGACCAGAAUUCUGAUAAUAGCAGGAUUGUGGUGAUAAUUAGUGCUGGGGGGGGGGGGGGGGGAGUUGUCCUUUUGCCUUUUCUGCUUGUGGGCUUUUCCACUUUACCCUAUUAGGUUUCUCGUAGGGUUUGGUGCGGUUAACUCCCCUUGCUGCUCUCUGGACUUUUCCGUUGGUUCAGGUCGCCAAGGGUGCCUGUACAAGUUCACAGGGAUUACCGGUGUAUCAUUCCCAGUACCUGGGCUUCCUGUAUGGAACUCUCACCAUACAGGCCCUGAAAAACCUCUGGGCUCAGUUGUACUAUGGGUACCUCUUCAGAGCCUGCUCUUAUUUUGUGCGAAUUUGUGGGUUGUUUGUUGUCUGUGCCACAGGGUGACGUUCAUAUGUUCUGCCUCCGCCAUGCUUCCUGCUGGGUUGGUGAAACAUUCGACCCUUUGUCAUGUGGGCCUUGUUCCCCACAUGUGAUUCUUCUUGCCCACUCUCCUCUUGAAGUUCAGAAGUAUCAGGCUGCGACCACUUUACAUUUGAGGUUUCCUGUGUUGUAGAGAUCAAGGUUGUGUGCCCAGUUGGAUGCCCAAGAUUUGCCCUGCUUGGUGUUUAGGGUCCGGGAUUUGGUGGUGGUGGUUAAUUUAACUGUGGUUUCAGGCGCACCUCUUCCUUUCCCGGUGAGCAGAGUUUGCCCGUCUCCUCCCAUUUCCAGCUCUGAAACGUUUGAGGGUUUCGGAGUUGGGACAGGGCUUAGCUUGAGAUGUGACUUGGUCUUAUCCAGGGUUUACCUCUUCCAACUUAGGUGCAUAGGCAGUUGAGCUCUUGCUUAUGCCAAGGCUUCUGGGUCUUUCCAGCUGGCCCUGUCUUUUGAAGCUUCUCGCUUUGACUUCACUUUACUAUCUCGGGCAGUGGGCGUAGACAAUGGCUCCUCCCUGGGGCCCCUCAUCUAUGGUUCCCGGGGUUCGGGAGUAUGCUUCCUGGGGCCCUUGGGUUCUGUACCUUCUGCAGAGGGCCUUAUGUUGCAAGGGUGGGAGUCUUCUUAUGCUACCCCUUCCUGUAUGAGUUUGGGAGGUGUCUCCUGUAUUGUAGGUGUUCUGGGAGGUUCUUUUGAGUCCCUCAAUGUAUGUCCCUGCUGUCUCCUGUGGGUCUCAUGCAGCAGAAUGCUCAAGUCCCUCCGUUGUCGGCUGCAUUGCUUGCGGACAGCCUUCGUGCCCGCUCAUACUUGGGUUCCAUUGUGCACUUCUUCUGCCUCCUGGAGCUUCCUUCUGAUUGGCUUUCGAAGAAUGUCUCAUCCUCCCCGCCUUUCCUCCCCUCCUCUCUUAGUCCUCUCCACCUUUCACCCCUUCCUCUGAAUCCAUAAGAAUUAGAUAGGGGGAGUCAAUAAUUACUAAUAUUUCAUAAAUCAUUUAACUUAGGCCAAUCCGGACCAGCUUAUGUCCAUUCCAUACCCAGACCAUUUACUCUACAAAUUUAGGUAGUGUCCCUAAGAAUUCUUGAAUAGUCUGAUAAUUUAGACAGUGCUAUAGGGCACUAUAAUUUUUUAUAAAUCAAUUGGUGUAUUUAGAACAGAAUGACCCAUGCCUAAGUCUCUUGGCACCUCCAUGACUUUUCUUUAAGUCGCAUACGUAAGUCUCUAUGACUAUAUUGUCAGUGGGAGCUGACUGAUGUUAGUUUCCAAUGGUUUUAUUAGAAUCUUGGAUGAAGAAGCAUUUCUAGCCCUUUUAAGCCUAUAAUGUACUUUAUUCUCAUGUUCGUUCAGCAGUUAAUGUUCCCAUUUCUACAAAGGUUGAGUGGCUAUUGAAAGUAGUUGUUUACUCUUAAUAGUUUAGACACUUACUGAUGGUAAUGUAAUUACAUAAACAACGUACCGAAGUCAAUUUGUUCCAUUGUACUCCCAUGCCCAGUAUUUUUGUUGUACCUCCAUUUCUAAUGUUACUUUAUGAUUUAAUUUACCAGCAGUCAGGUUUCACCGAUUUUAUCAACUUUAUUAUGAUGAAAAGACAUAAUUUGGGUUAAAGUAGUGAGCCUUGAUAUUGACAAGUGUUUGUACGAGGGCUGUUCUGGUUCACUUCUCACACGAAUAUGCACAAUAAUAAUCGUACCAGUAGAAAUAUCAGUCUGUAUAUGAUAAGUUUUAAUGAAGCAUUUGAGCUAAUACAUUUUAAGGAAACAUAUGAGUUAAUUUGUUUUAAGAAAAUGUCAUAAUUUUAUGUCAUUUAAUUAUGAUGCUGCAACAGCAAUAGUUGUGUACAUUUAGAAUAAUGAAUCGUGAAACUGCCAUUAGAUAUUAAAUAUUACCACUGUUUAUAUCAGUUAAUAAUAAGUAUGCAACAUCAUUGUCUCAAUCCCAAGUGUUCAGAUGAAAUGUUUUAUACAAUGACUAUGAGAUGCAGUGAAGGAUCUGGCAUCAAACAGUAGGUUAGCUUUCACAAAGAAUCACAGUAGUAUUGCUUAUAUAAUGACUUUGCUCAAGUAAUGUGAAGAAAUACAUGGUUGAAUUGUGUUUGCCAUUUUCUCAUUGGAAUUGCUUGUCUGUUUGCUUCUGUAGUGCUUUCCUUGUGAUCUCAUUUUAUGAUUUAAAAUCAAUAUUUCAAUGAAUAUCACCGCACAAAUUACCUGCUCAUUUUUUGACAGUUUGCCAAAAGGUUUAAGCAGUAAUAUAAGAAUUUUAAUAUCUGUAACUAUUACUAUUUUCGUUUUCUUUUUUUUUCGGUAAGCCUGGCAUUAUAAUUAGUAGCUAUUGUAUGAUUUAGGCAAGACUCCUGGGAACAUUGGUUUUGAUGGAUUGUGCAUGACAAUAAAUUGUGUAGACUUACAAUAUACAGUACUGUACAAUCAAAAGAUUUGUUAUAAUCUCUCAUGCCAUAUUUGCUGUGGAAACUCUUUAGUGUUUAAAGUUUGUGAACCGUUUAACUGAUAUGGUUUAUGGAAAGAAACUAUUUUUGUAAUGAAUAUUGUCAAUGUCUUGAAAUAUGUAGACAUGCUGCUUAUGACUUGUGAUAGGUUUCUCUAGUAGAUGUGCUGCUUAAAGCAUUAGUUAUAAUUUUUAUUCAAUUAAGGAACACCAUUGUGUCAUAUAUGCUAUACAUUAGUUACGAUGGGUGAAUUUUUGAGAUGGAAACGUUACUGGAGUUUUUACUGUGAUUACUGUUUGGGCUUUUUUGUAGUUUAUGACAAACAUUGGUGUUCUGCUUGUGCUUGUACUGAGCUCCAGCUGCAGUGGCCAGGAGAGAUGACUUGUUGUUGUUGUGGUCACUCUCAGCACGAGAGUCAUCUAUGGGGUGUCUCCAAGAGGCCAGCACGAGAGUCAUCUAUGGGGUGUCUCCAAGAGGCCAGCACGAGAGUCAUCUAUGGGGUGUCUCCAAGAGGCCAGCACGAGAGUCAUCUAUGGGGUGUCUCCAAGAGGCCAGCACGAGAGUCAUCUAUGGGGUGUCUCCAAGAGGCCAGCAUGAGAGGCAUCUAUGGGGUGUCUCCAAGAGGCCAGCAUGAGAGGCAUCUAUGGGGUGUCUCCAAGAGGCCAGCAUGAGAGUCAUCUAUGGGGUGUCUCCAAGAGGCCAGCACGAGAGUCAUCUAUGGGGUGUCUCCAAGAGGCCAGCACGAGAGUCAUCUAUGGGGUGUCUCCAAGAGGCCAGCACGAGAGGCAUCUAUGGGGUGUCUCCAAGAGGCCAGCACGUUUAAAGCUGUGAUCGUUUGUUGGUUCAGUCUUCCAGUAUAUUGAGUGGAUAGAGUUUGAGGGUUUUGUGCCACUUGCAUCACAGUUAAACAUUGAUCUAGCUCACCGGCCAACACAUUUUUAGUUGGCAAAUAAAGAUGUAUUUUAGAAUAAUUAGGUUGUUAGUGAAGCGAGUUUAAUAUGUUUAGGACUUGCAAAUAACGAGAAAAUAAUAAUAUCCGUUGUUAGUGAAGCGAGUUUAAUAUGUUUAGGACUUGCAAAUAACGAGAAAAUAAUAAUAUCCGUUGUUAGUGAAGCGAGUUUAAUAUGUUUAGGACUUGCAAAUAACGAGAAAAUAAUAAUAUCCUGAGUUAUAUAUUUGUGUAUUGAAAAUAUUCCUAAAAUAAUGAUGAUAGUACUGGACUCUCAAACCAUGUUGUAAUUUCAAUGCCUGCUCUUCUAUAUUAAAGUUAAACAGCUAAUAUUUACUGUGCCAUAAAAUGCCAACAAAAUUUUGCUAUUUUUUUUGUUUUGUUUUAAUAUUUUACAUGAAAUAAAUAUUUGUAUGUCUUGAUUAUUGUUUAUAAGGGUUAUACAAUCAGACUUCGUCUGAGAAAUUUGAUGUCUUAAAAAUGUAGGGUUAUAAUUUUUUACUGUUUUUAUAUUAGUGUGAAUAAAUUAAAUCAAUUUACAAGUAAAUUUAGAUUGAUAGCUUAUCAGUGUGGUAGUGUGUGGUGCUAGAAACACCUAUGUGAGGUUGAUAAUGCAGAAGUAGUAGAAUUUGUUCAACAAAUUUGUACUCUUAUGUAUGACACUAUUGAGUGACUUGGCUGUAGGAAGCACAUGGACAAGAUAACCCUAACCAAAGGCUUCAUUUCAAAGUCAGGAUUUAUUGCCUUAUGGAUUAAUGAAUUAAAUGAGCACUAAAGUUAAGGCAUGUGGCCCAUAUCAACUUUAUGAACAUAACUACUUAAUUUACAUGUGAUAAAUAUCAAGAUUCAUCUUUCCACAUUGAAGUGAAUGAAGAACUGUGGAGCUACUUGCUGUGUUUGGCUGUGGUGUAGGAGGAUCACAAGGCAGUCCAAGGUGCUCGACAAGGUCUGUCAGUAACAUCUCUUGGAGUGGAGAGGCAUUUUUUGAGAGAGAUAUCAACAUUUUUUAAAUUGUGUGCAAUUAAUUUUUCUGUGAAGCCUUUUCCCAAGUGUGAUGCGGUUGAGUGAGGACAUUCCAAACAUUGCUACCUGAAUGUUAUGGUGCCAAGGCACCCUAAGCAUGUGCUAGAUUGAAUUUUGAGUGAUGUGGUUUGCAGAGCCCUAUGAUUGUUUCUACACACAUUAGAAAUUUACUUCAUAAUCAUGUGCAAAAACCUUACACAAAUGUAUUUCAAGUGCAUAAAUUCACUACCAGUUUUAAUUUUCCUUGUACUCGGUAAAUAGUAAAUGAAAUGUUAUUGUACUGCUCCAUUUUAACUUGAAGUUAUUACUUUCCAUAUUAGUUUGUGCUUACAUCUUUCAUGUGUGUGAUCUUUCAUAGGGCAUGUAGAGUCGCUAGUCUGUGGGGUGAACGGGAUGUUACAAACAUUCCCAGCCACCAUGCCCAAAUUUUUAAAGAAACACUUUAAAGAGCUUUUCCGAUACAGUACUAUUAAACUGUUAAAUAUAACAAUAAAGUAUUGAAAACAAUUGGGCUCAUUCCUAGUGGAGCUUCAGAAUUUGGGCAGCUGUCUCGGGUGAAGCAUGGGACACUAAACAGUUGUAGUUGUAAUGCUAAAUAAAGCACUCAGUGUGAAA